rnacentral:rRNA from 1 species
UACAGAGGGUGCAAGCGUUGUUCGGAAUUAUUGGGCGUAAAGCGCGCGUAGGCGGCUUUGCAAGUCGGGUGUGAAAGCCCUCAGCUCAACUGAGGAAGUGCGCCCGAAACUGCCGUUCUUGAGUGUCGGAGAGGGUGACGGAAUUCCCGGUGUAGAGGUGAAAUUCGUAGAUAUCGGGAGGAACACCAGUGGCGAAGGCGGUCACCUGGACCGAACACUGGACG